rnacentral:rRNA from 1 species
AUUGAACGCUGGCGGCAGGCCUAACACAUGCAAGUCGAAUGGUAACAGGAAACAGCUUGCUGUUUCGCUGACGAGUGGCGGACGGGUGAGUAAUGUCUGGGAAACUGCCUGAUGGAGGGGGAUAACUACUGGAAACGGUAGCUACUACCGCCUAACGUCGCAAGACCAAAGAGGGGGACCUUCGGGCCUCUUGCCAUAAGAUGUGCCCAGAUGGGAUUAGCUAGUAGGUGGGGUAACGGCUCACCUAGGCGACGAUCCCUAGCUGGUCUGAGAGGAUGAACAGCCACACUGGAACUGAGACACGGUCCAGACUCCUACGGGAGGCAGCAGUGGGGAAUAUUGCACAAUGGGCGCAAGCCUGAUGCAGCCAUGCCGCGUGUAUGAAGAAGGCCUUCGGGUUGUAAAGUACUUUCAGCGGGGAGGAAGGGAGUAAAGUUAAUACCUUUGCUCAUUGACGUUACCCGCAGAAGAAGCACCGGCUAACUCCGUG